AGAGUUUGAUCAUGGCUCAGGAUGAACGCUGGCGGCGUGCUUAAUACAUGCAAGUCGAACGGAGACAGUAGCAAUAUUGUCUUAGUGGCGAACGGGUGAGUAACGCGUUGGUGACCUGCCUCGAAGAGAGGGAUAACAGUUCGAAAGGAUUGCUAAUACCUCAUGUGGUUGCUUGGGUUAGAGACCUUGCAACUAAACGGAUUUAUUCGCUUCGAGAGGGGCCUGCGUCCCAUCAGCUAGUUGGUAGGGUAAUGGCCUACCAAGGCGAUGACGGGUAGGGGACCUGAGAGGGUGGCCCCCCACAAUGGAACUGAAACACGGUCCAUACACCUACGGGUGGCAGCAGUAGGGAAUAUUGGUUAAUCUGGGAAACCGGGAACCAGCAACGCCGCGUGCGCGAUGAAGGCCUUCGGGUUUGUAAAGCGCUUUUUAGAGAGGAUGAGGAAGGACAGUACUCUCUGAAUAAGCCUCGGCUAACUACGUGCCAGCA
rnacentral:rRNA from 1 species